GGGUUGUGAGGUUAAGCGACUAAGCGUACACGGUGGAUGCCCUGGCAGUCAGAGGCGAUGAAGGACGUGCUAAUCUGCGAUAAGCGCCGGUAAGGUGAUAUGAACCGUUAUAACCGGCGAUUUCCGAAUGGGGAAACCCAGUGUGAUUCGUCACACUAUCAUUAACUGAAUCCAUAGGUUAAUGAGGCGAACCGGGGGAACUGAAACAUCUAAGUACCCCGAGGAAAAGAAAUCAACCGAGAUUCCCCCAGUAGCGGCGAGCGAACGGGGAGGAGCCCAGAGCCUGAAUCAGCAUGUGUGUUAGUGGAAGCGUCUGGAAAGGCGCGCGAUACAGGGUGACAGCCCCGUACACAAAAGCGCAUGUGCUGUGAGCUCGAUGAGUAGGGCGGGACACGUGGUAUCCUGUCUGAAUAUGGGGGGACCAUCCUCCAAGGCUAAAUACUCCUGACUGACCGAUAGUGAACCAGUACCGUGAGGGAAAGGCGAAAAGAACCCCGGCGAGGGGAGUGAAAAAGAACCUGAAACCGUGUACGUACAAGCAGUGGGAGCACAGGUUUACCUGUGUGACUGCGUACCUUUUGUAUAAUGGGUCAGCGACUUAUAUUCUGUAGCAAGGUUAACCGAAUAGGGGAGCCGGAGGGAAACCGAGUCUUAAUUGGGCGUUAAGUUGCAGGGUAUAGACCCGAAACCCGGUGAUCUAGCCAUGGGCAGGUUGAAGGUUGGGUAACACUAACUGGAGGACCGAACCGACUAAUGUUGAAAAAUUAGCGGAUGACCUGUGGCUGGGGGUGAAAGGCCAAUCAAACCGGGAGAUAGCUGGUUCUCCCCGAAAGCUAUUUAGGUAGCGCCUCGUGAAUUCAUCUCCGGGGGUAGAGCACUGUUUCGGCUAGGGGGCCAUCCCGGCUUACCAACCCGAUGCAAACUGCGAAUACCGGAGAAUGUUAUCACGGGAGACACACGGCGGGUGCUAACGUCCGUCGUGAAGAGGGAAACAACCCAGACCGCCAGCUAAGGUCCCAAAGUCAUGGUUAAGGGAAACGAUGUGGGAAGGCCCAGACAGCCGGGAUGUUGGCUUAGAAGCAGCCAUCAUUUAAAGAAAGCGUAAUAGCUCACUGGUCGAGUCGGCCUGCGCGGAAGAUGUAACGGGCUAAAACCAUGCACCGAAGCUGCGGCAGCGAACGUAUCACCCAAGACAACUUUACGGAGUUGACGAUUGACGGAGCGAAGCGACGUCAAAGCGUUCAUUAAAGUCGAGUUGGCUUAGGGAUACGUUCGUUGGGUAGGGGAGCGUUCUGUAAGCCUGUGAAGGUGUGUCGUGAGGCAUGCUGGAGGUAUCAGAAGUGCGAAUGCUGACAUAAGUAACGAUAAAGCGGGUGAAAAGCCCGCUCGCCGGAAGACCAAGGGUUCCUGUCCAACGUUAAUCGGGGCAGGGUGAGUCGACCCCUAAGGCGAGGCCGAAAGGCGUAGUCGAUGGGAAACGGGUUAAUAUUCCCGUACUUGGUGUUACUGCGAAGGGGGGACGGAGAAGGCUAUGUUGGCCGGGCGACGGUUGUCCCGGUUUAAGCGUGUAGGUGUGUGUUCCAGGUAAAUCCGGUUCACUUUAACACUGAGGCGUGACGACGAGGCACUACGGUGCUGAAGCAACAAAUGCCCUGCUUCCAGGAAAAGCCUCUAAGCAUCAGGUAACACGAAAUCGUACCCCAAACCGACACAGGUGGUCAGGUAGAGAAUACCAAGGCGCUUGAGAGAACUCGGGUGAAGGAACUAGGCAAAAUGGUGCCGUAACUUCGGGAGAAGGCACGCUGACACGUAGGUGAAGUGAUUUACUCAUGGAGCUGAAGUCAGUCGAAGAUACCAGCUGGCUGCAACUGUUUAUUAAAAACACAGCACUGUGCAAACACGAAAGUGGACGUAUACGGUGUGACGCCUGCCCGGUGCCGGAAGGUUAAUUGAUGGGGUCAGCGUAAGCGAAGCUCCUGAUCGAAGCCCCGGUAAACGGCGGCCGUAACUAUAACGGUCCUAAGGUAGCGAAAUUCCUUGUCGGGUAAGUUCCGACCUGCACGAAUGGCGUAAUGAUGGCCAGGCUGUCUCCACCCGAGACUCAGUGAAAUUGAACUCGCUGUGAAGAUGCAGUGUACCCGCGGCAAGACGGAAAGACCCCGUGAACCUUUACUAUAGCUUGACACUGAACAUUGAGCCUUGAUGUGUAGGAUAGGUGGGAGGCUUUGAAGUGUGGACGCCAGUCUGCAUGGAGCCGACCUUGAAAUACCACCCUUUAAUGUUUGAUGUUCUAACGUGGACCCGUAAUCCGGGUUGCGGACAGUGUCUGGUGGGUAGUUUGACUGGGGCGGUCUCCUCCUAAAGAGUAACGGAGGAGCACGAAGGUUGGCUAAUCUGGUCGGACAUCAGGAGGUUAGUGCAAUGGCAUAAGCCAGCUUGACUGCGAGCGUGACGGCGCGAGCAGGUGCGAAAGCAGGUCAUAGUGAUCCGGUGGUUCUGAAUGGAAGGGCCAUCGCUCAACGGAUAAAAGGUACUCCGGGGAUAACAGGCUGAUACCGCCCAAGAGUUCAUAUCGACGGCGGUGUUUGGCACCUCGAUGUCGGCUCAUCACAUCCUGGGGCUGAAGUAGGUCCCAAGGGUAUGGCUGUUCGCCAUUUAAAGUGGUACGCGAGCUGGGUUUAGAACGUCGUGAGACAGUUCGGUCCCUAUCUGCCGUGGGCGCUGGAGAACUGAGGGGGGCUGCUCCUAGUACGAGAGGACCGGAGUGGACGCAUCACUGGUGUUCGGGUUGUCAUGCCAAUGGCACUGCCCGGUAGCUAAAUGCGGAAGAGAUAAGUGCUGAAAGCAUCUAAGCACGAAACUUGCCCCGAGAUGAGUUCUCCCUGAGACUUAGAGUCUCCUGAAGGAACGUUGAAGACGACGACGUUGAUAGGCCGGGUGUGUAAGCGCAGCGAUGCGUUGAGCUAACCGGUACUAAUGAACCGUGAGGCUUAACCUUACAACGCCGAAG
rnacentral:rRNA from 1 species